rnacentral:lncRNA from 1 species
AGUAAUCUUGCUGUCUCUAUUUCAAAAAACAUACUAUUUUAUACUUUUGUUUUUAUUUUAAUAGAUGUAAAUUGGUAAUAUUGGUGGAGGACCAAGAAAGAGCAUUUUCAAGCACCUUCCAUGUGAGAGACUGCUGGAGAGAACUGAUUUACUGAGACGACAUGGCAUUUAAGCUGAAAAAAGAGGAGGAUGUGGAGUCAUUGCAAGAAGGAGCGACAAAACAGUGCAGUGAGACAGAGAUGAGAAUGAGAAUCUGCCAAGCACUAGGAAACAAUAUUAAAUGAGCACCUUGAGGAAAUUGCAAAGUAGUUUCUACUUUAUCAGGAUUUUCAAUUCCAGGUAUCUUACUUUGGAACUUUUGUAUUACUUUGAUAUCACUUAUAAAAUGUUCCAUUUCUGAAACUGCUAGAUCCACAGAAAUUAGUAGCCUUUUUGGGGCAACGUAUAAAAGGAAGACCAUAG